AUUAUAGAUGUAUAAAAUAUAUAUUGAACAACCUUUAUCGAGAAUUUCUUUUAUUUCUUAUAAGUUUAAACACACUUAAAAUAUUUCUGAUUUUGCUACUGGGUCCGCUACAGAGUCUAGCCAAAAGUUGUGGGGUUCCGCACACGUUAAGAAGUCCAUUAUCCACAAAUCUAUUGCAUAUUUAUUUUCUUUUUUAGCCUCAACAUU
rnacentral:lncRNA from 1 species